rnacentral:rRNA from 1 species
UGCCAGCAGCCGCGGUAAAACCAGCACCUCAAGUGGUCAGGAUGAUUAUUGGGCCUAAAGCAUCCGUAGCCGGCUCUGUAAGUUUUCGGUUAAAUCUGUACGCUCAACGUACAGGCUGCCGGGAAUACUGCAGAGCUAGGGAGUGGGAGAGGUAGACGGUACUCGGUAGGAAGGGGUAAAAUCCUUUGAUCUAUUGAUGACCACCUGUGGCGAAGGCGGUCUACCAGAACACGUCUGACGCUGAGGGACGAAAGCGUGGGGAGCGAACAGGAUUAGAUA